UAAAGAAGAAGUGAGAUAAUAUUAAUUUUUUUGAUUAAAUCUUAAACCUAAUAUUUAUACCCUUUAAGAAGGUAUUAUAAGUUAAGUCAAAAGAUUGGAACGCAGUGAAAGAAACUUCUCAGUCCCCAUAAAUCUUCUUGACCAGCAUCGCCAUCUGAAUUUAUUUAGGCUUGUUCGUCAGUCCGUCUGUCUGUUUAUACCCAAAACCAAGUCUUCUGGAAAGGCUUAUUGAACCUUUGCCAAAAGCCCUGUAGCUUUAGUAGGACAAUGCAUACAUGUAUACAUAUAUGUCGGAACUAGAGCUGGAAAACAAUCGAUGGCACUAUCGAUACCAUCGAUGUUUUUAAAAUUUUCUAAACAUCGAUGGUUCGUUGGCCACUAUCGAUUGUUUUCAUUAAUUCUGUGCAUUGAGGACAACGUGUAAGUAAAAUGGGUUUUGUGUCGCAUUAUUUUAAUUAUAUUAAAUAUUUAAUCACAUGUAGUGAAAAUAUAAAUUCCUUGGAAGCAAGUGGUGGUGCUGGUUGUAGGCGUGGUGCUACAAAAUGGAUAAGUUUGUAAAAAACAGAUUGUGUCUGACAGGAGAUGCGCACUAAAACCCAACAUUGUGGACAAACUUUUGUUCCUAAACAAAAAUAGUGAUCUUUAAUAAAAAUCUCGUUAAUUGUUA